rnacentral:rRNA from 1 species
AACGAACGCUGGCGGCAUGCCUAACACAUGCAAGUCGAACGCGUGUAGCAAUACACGAGUGGCGGACGGGUGAGUAACGCGUGGGAACCUGCCCAAUGGUAGGGAAUAACUGCGGGAAACUGCAGCUAAUACCCUAUGCUCCCUACGGGGGAAAGAUUUAUCGCCAUUGGAGGGGCCCGCGUCGGAUUAGCUAGUUGGCGGGGUAACGGCCCACCAAGGCUACGAUCCGUAGCUGGUCNGAGAGGAUGAUCAGCCACACUGGGACUGAGAUACGGCCCAGACUCCUACGGGAGGCAGCAGUGGGGAAUAUUGGACAAUGGGGGAAACCCUGAUCCAGCAAUGCCGCGUGAGUGAAGAAGGCCUUAGGGUUGUAAAGCUCUUUCGGCGGGGUACGAUGGUGACGGUACCCGCAGAAGAAGCCCCGGCUAACUUCGUGCCAGCAGCCGC